rnacentral:lncRNA from 13 species
AAAACAGACCAGGAAAACUAUAAAGGCCACCAAGAGCACAUGUUCUCACCACUUCAAAUGUGACCAAGGCAGAGAGGACUAAAGUAAAAUGAUACCUUGGGAAAUUCCUGACCUAUAAAGCUGAGGAGAGACCAGGCUGAAACCCAGACAGGAGUUGGGCCCUUAUUCUUCGGCAGACAUUCUACUGAAGUACCAAGCAUGUGAGAAGACUGGUUAGACAUCUCCUUAUCUCCUCUCCCAGCCCAGUUCGCCCUCCUCUUUCUGCCUGAAAGAUGCCAUCAUCAUGGUCCAGUCU